CCAGCAUGCCCAGCGCAGGGUGGAGAUACAAAGAUGGCGGCACCAUUGAGUCUGCUGCUGAUCGCGGCUGUCACCGUUAGAGCAGCUCUUUUUAGGUCGUCUUUAGCAGAUUUAAUCGCCGAAAGGGUGGAAGUGGUGUCUCCGAUAACGGCUUGGAAAAGAGUGAUUGAAGGUUUGGCUCUACUCGACUUGGGAAUCUCACCGUAUUCUGGAGAUGUUUUCCAUGAGACUCCUCUCAUUAUCUACCUCUUCCACUUCCUGGUGGACUAUGCAGAGAUAACAUUCAUGCUGGCCGACGGCAUCGUGGCGGUGGCGCUCUACUAUGCCGUGCAGGACUACAACAAGCAAGUGUUCAGGAAGCAGAAAUACGCACUGGAAGCAGACCGCUACCCCCCCGACUGUCAUGAGCUGGUCCGAACCCCCAAAGAGAUGCACUACAUCCCCCUAAAAGUGGCCAUGUUCUACCUGCUGAACCCAUUCACCAUCCUGUCCUGCGUUGCCAAGUCCACAUGCGGCCUGAACAACGCUGUGGUGUCCCUCUUCAUCCUGUCCACCAUUAAAGGAAACGUCUUGCUCAGCGCCAUCUUCUUGGCCUUGGCCACGUACCAGAGCAUCUACCCUCUGACUCUGUGCAUGGCCGCUCUGCUCUACUUAAUGCAGCGCCAGUUUAUCCCCAUCAACAUUCGGCGGGUCAGCUUCUGGUGGUUUGUGGCUCAGUACGCCUUCAUGUACCUGGGCAGCCUCUUCGUCAUCAUCUGCCUCUCCUUUUUCCUGCUGGGCUCCUGGGACUUCCUGCCCUCCGUCUAUGGCUUCAUCCUCACCGUCCCAGACUUGACCCCCAACAUCGGCCUCUUCUGGUAUUUCUUCGCAGAGAUGUUUGAACACUUCCGCCUCUUAUUCCUCUGCGUCUUCCAGAUGAUUGUCUUCUUCUACACCAUCCCUAUGUCCAUCAAGCUCAAGGAGCAUCCAAUGUUUCUGAUCUUCAUGCAGCUGGCGAUCAUCUCCAUUUUCAAAUCCUACCCCACGGUGGGCGACAUUGCCCUCUACAUGGCCUUUCUGCCCGUCUGGAGUUACCUAUACAGAUUCCUGAGGAACAUCUUCCUGGUGUCCUGCAUCAUGCUAGCCUGUUCGGCACUCUUCCCGGUCCUCUGGCACCUUUGGAUGUACGCCGGCAGCGCCAACGCCAAUUUUUACUACGCUAUCACGCUGCUGUUCAACUUGGCUCAGGUAUGACCGCUUUUCACAAGCCCGACGUUAGACAUUUGACACUUUGUAGCGGCAAACACAACCAUGCAGAUGGUGAAAUAGAGCGAAUAGUGGACACACCAUUAAAAAUGCCUAUUAAAGGUAUUUUUAAUUCUAAAAUGUACGGAUACUCGCCACUGAUGAAUGAUGAUGGAUUGGAAAACAUGGAAUCAGAGGCACGGUCCGGCCUUUAGCCUGGUCACCAGGCCACCACAACGGCCGCGUUUUUGUGUUUUGUAGUGCCGCUUAUGCGGCUAGCGGUGGCACGAUGCUCCACAUGGUCGUUCCGGCUAGCAGUCCCGAGAUGAUGCGGGCGUUCCUCCAAUGCCGAAGAUGCGUGAAGAUGUCAUUUUCCUUGCUAGCGAGCGACAGCUGACUUAUACGGAACCGCUAUUACGUCCAAGCCGAAAGCUAAGCAGAGCUGCAGUGUUUUUGGAUAUCCAGAUCAUCACCUUCCAGCUCCUGUCGGGGGAGGGAAAGCUUGGUGUCUUGAGUGUUUUAGCUGCCUUCUGAGUCAAUAUGACGCCGGAACCAGCUGUCCGUGGCAAAGCUCCAUAACUACAAGUAUUCAAAAAAUGAUUACAGUCUGUUUCUUAGCCAUUUGGCACAAGCUAACACUAAUAGUUGUUAGAACGUCAUGAUGAUUAAUUACAUGCAGGAUUAUGGGCGUUAACUUUCUGGAGUACUAGCAAUCCUGCUGUAUCGAGAGCUUGGAAACUUGAGUUUCUUUUUGCUCUCGGUUCAUACUUGUAUACGAUGUACCGCUGUACUUUCUGCCAAAUAUUUGUCAUUGUAAUGCAAAACCGUAUUUGCAGUAGAGGGGGACGGACAGGAAACCGGCUGCUCUGAGCAGGGCUGUUUUAGAGUGGUGUGUGUGCUGUAGUUCUUCAUCCUUGGGGUAUCAUGGCUGACUAACAUGUGGUGAUUCUAGAGAAGAGCGGGCAGCGUCAAAGCGUCUGUUCAUUCUGAGCCUCGACAUGGUUGUGAUGGUUUCUAACC